UGGAUCCUAUUUGAUCACCAAAAUUAAGAAGCCUUGAGCCUGGUCAGUACUUAGAUGGUGAACCACUUGGGAACACCAGGUACUGUAAG